rnacentral:rRNA from 1 species
AGAAUCAACGCUGGCGGCGUGCCUAACACAUGCAAGUCGCACGAGAAAGGGGAGCAAUCCCUGAGUACAGUGGCGCACGGGUGAGUAACACGUGAAUGAUCUACCUCCGAGUGGGGAAUAACUGAGAGAAAUCUUAGCUAAUACCGCAUAAUACCCACGGGUCAAAGCAGCAAUGCGCUUGGAGAGGAGUUCGCGGCAGAUUAGUUAGUUGGCGGGGUAAUGGCCCACCAAGACGAUGAUCUGUAUCCGGCCUGAGAGGGCGCACGGACACACUGGAACUGAAACACGGUCCAGACUCCUACGGGAGGCAGCAGUGGGGAAUUUUGCGCAAUGGGGGAAACCCUGACGCAGCAACGCCGCGUGGAGGAUGAAGCCCCUUGGGGUGUAAACUCCUUUCGAUCGGGAAGAUAAUGACGGUACCGAUAUAAGAAGCCCGGCUAACUUCGCGCCAGCAGCCGC